GAACUUGAGUUUUGGUGUUUGUUGAACUUGAGUUUGUGGUGUUUUUGAACUUGAGUUUGUGUGUUUUUGAACUUGAGUUGUGGUGUUUGUUGAACUUGAGUUUGUGGUGUUUUGAACUUGAGUUUUUGAGUGGUUUUUGAACUUGAAUUUGUGUGUUUUUGAACUUGAGUUUGUUGUUUUUGAACUUGGGGUUGUGGAAUUGUUAAACUUGAGAUUUGGGUGUUGGUUGAACUUGAGUUUGUGUUGUUUUUUGAACUUGAGUUUGUGUGUUGUUUGAACUUGAGUUUGUGUGUGUUUUUGAACUUGAGUUUGUGUCGUUUUAACUUGAGUUUGUGGUGUUUUUGAACUUGAGUUUGUGUGAAAUUUUUGAACUUGAUUUGUGUGUUGGUUGAACUUGAGUUUUGAACUUGAGUUGUGUGUUUUUGAACUUGAGUUGUGUCGUGUUUGAACUUGAGUUUGUGGUGUUUUUGAACUUGAGUUUGUGUGUUUUUGAACUUGAGGUGUGGAAAUUUUUAAACUUGAGAUUUGGGUGUUGGUUGAACUUGAGUUUUUGGUGUUUUUGAACUUGAGUUGUGGUGUGAACUUAAGUGUGUCGUGUUUGAACUUUGAGUU